ACUGAUGAGUUGCGAACGGGUGAGUAACGCGUAGGUAACCUGCCUCAUAGCGGGGGAUAACUAUUGGAAACGAUAGCUAAUACCGCAUAAGAGUGAUUAACACAUGUUAGUUAUUUAAAAGGAGCAAUUGCUUCACUGUGAGAUGGACCUGCGUUGUAUUAGCUAGUUGGUGAGGUAAAGGCUCACCAAGGCGACGAUACAUAGCCGACCUGAGAGGGUGAUCGGCCACACUGGGACUGAGACACGGCCCASACUCCUACGGGAGGCAGCAGUAGGGAAUCUUCGGCAAUGGACGGAAGUCUGACCGAGCAACGCCGCGUGAGUGAAGAAGGUUUUCGGAUCGUAAAGCUCUGUUGUUAGAGAAGAACGUUGGUAGGAGUGGAAAAUCUACCAAGUGRSGGURACUAACCAGAAAGGGACGGCUAACUACGUGCCAGCAGCCGCGGUAAUACGUAGGUCCCGAGCGUUGUCCGGAUUUAUUGGGCGUAAAGCGAGCGCAGGCGGUUCUUUAAGUCUGAAGUUAAAGGCAGUGGCUUAACCAUUGUACGCUUUGGAAACUGGAGGACUUGASUGCAGAAGGGGAGAGUGGAAUUCCAUGUGUAGCGGUGAAAAUGCGUAGAUAUAUGGAGGAACACCGGUGGCGAAAGCGGCUCUCUGGUCUGUAACUGACGCUGAGGCUCGAAAGCGUGGGGAGCAAACAGGAUUAGAUACCCUGGUAGUCCACGCCSUAAACGAUGAGUGCUAGGUGUUAGGCCCUUUCCGGGGCUUA
rnacentral:rRNA from 1 species